ACAGAAUAAGCUCCGGCUAACUUCGUGCCAGCAGCCGCGGUAAUACGAAGGGAGCUAGCGUUGUUCGGAAUUACUGGGCGUAAAGGGCGCGUAGGCGGUUUGGUAAGUUGGGUGUGAAAGCCCAGGGCUCAACCCUGGAACUGCACUCAAGACUAUCAGACUUGAAUUCGGUAGAGGUUGGUGGAAUUCCCAGUGUAGAGGUGAAAUUCGUAGAUAUUGGGAAGAAUAUCCGUGGCGAAGGCGGCCAACUGGACCGACAUUGACGCUGAGGCGCGAAAGCGUGGGGAUCAAACAGGAUUAGAUACCCUGGUAGUCCACGCUGUAAACGAUGCAUGCUAGACGUUGGAAACUUCAGGUUUCUUGUGUCGCAGCUAACGCACUAAGCAUGCCGCCUGGGGAGUACGGCCGCAAG
rnacentral:rRNA from 1 species